rnacentral:rRNA from 1 species
GAUGAACGCUGGCGGCGUGCCUAAUACAUGCAAGUCGAGCGAACAGACGAGGAGCUUGCUCCUCUGACGUUAGCGGCGGACGGGUGAGUAACACGUGGAUAACCUACCUAUAAGACUGGGAUAACUUCGGGAAACCGGAGCUAAUACCGGAUAAUAUAUUGAACCGCAUGGUUCAAUAGUGAAAGACGGUUUUGCUGUCACUUAUAGAUGUAUCCGCGCCGCAUUAGCUAGUUGGUAAGGUAACGGCUUACCAAGGCAACGAUGCGUAGCCGACCUGAGAGGGUGAUCGGCCACACUGGAACUGAGACACGGUCCAGACUCCUACGGGAGGCAGCAGUAGGGAAUAUUCCGCAAUGGGCGAAAGCCUGACGGAGCAACGCCGCGUGAGUGAUGAAGGUCUUCGGAUCGUAAAACUCUGUUAUUAGGGAAGAACAAAUGUGUAAGUAACUAUGCACGUCUUGACGGUACCUAAUCAGAAAGCCACGGCUAACUACGUG